rnacentral:rRNA from 1 species
AUUGAACGCUGGCGGCAGGCCUAACACCUGCAAGUCGAGCCACCGCCCGACGGGUGAGUAAUGCCUGGGCAUCUGCCUGCUAGAGGGCGAUAAAUACUGGAAACGGCAGCUAAUACCGCAUACUAUCGCAUGCACCCAUGUGGGAUUAGCUAGUUGGUGGGGUAACGGCUCACCAAGGCAACGAUCUCUCGCUGGUCUGAGAGGAUGAUCAGCCACACGGGGACUGAGACAAGGGCCAUGCUCCGACGGGAGGCAGCAGUGGAGAAGGUUGGACAGGGGGCGCAAGCCUGAUGCAGCCAUUCCGCGUGUAUGGAGAAGGCCUGAGGGUUGUAAAGUACGUUCAGCGGGGGAGCGUUACCGGCAGAAGAAGCACCGGCAAACUCCGUGGCAGCAGCCGCGGUAAUAC